UAAUAGGCGCGUUAGCGAUUGAAGUGGCAUCCUUUUUUUUAGGAACGAGAAAAAAGAUAUAAUGGAAAGCGCGACUUGGU
rnacentral:sRNA from 1 species